CACAAGAAGAAGAAAAGGAGAAGGUUGUACGACGGCAGGGGGUCGGGGGAUGGUGGUCGACGACGGCAGGGGGUCGGGGUUGGGUUGUACGGCGGUAGGGGGCUCGGGGUUGGGCUCGACGGCAACGAUUGGUGGCUGGGCUCGACGGCGGGUGGGGGGGUCUCAGGUCUGGGCUCGAUGGCGCAUGAGCUGGGCAUUUUCUCAGUCCAUUCCCUCUCUCAGUCAGUCAGGUAUGGAGAUUGCUUUUUUAUUUUAUAUUUUAAUUUCUUUUCUGUUGUUUUCUUUCUUUCUUUUGUUUUGGUGAAAGGGGAUCUCUCAAUCUCACUGCCCUCCCUCUCUCACUCCGGUCUCACUCUCUCAAUUUCUGUCUCACUCUCACUCAGCUCCCCAGAGCUCCCUUACUCUAGUUAAGGUAUGUUUAUAUUUAUAUAAUUUAUGGUAAUGUGUAGUCUAUUCAAUUUUUAUGUUAUAUACGUUACAAUAAAAAUUCAUAAAUGCGUGCUUGUAUUUGAGUUUUUUUUAAUCAUCAAUUAUUGUUUCUUUUUUCUGUUUUGCUAUCAGUUUUCAUGUGCUCUCUAUUGUACUAUGUCUGAUUCUCUCUGAUAGAAACAAGUCAAUUUUUUCCUUUUAUCUUUGUUUAUAUAUAUAUAUAAAUAAUGUUAGGUUAUUUGUAUUUAUAAGAUAUAAUAUUUAAAGUAUAAAAUUUGUAUUUAGAAGAUGCCAUUAGAUACUUUAGACACUUUCUCUUAAUUUUGACAACAUAAUCUUUUACAAUGUUUGUGCUUAUAAUAAUUGUUCUAUACUUUUUUUUACUAAUCAGGAUGUUUUGUUUAAUUUUUUUGUGUGAAUAAAUUAGUCUUACCAUGUUUCGUGUUUGUUUUCAUCAAUUGUAUUUAUAGCUUCAAAUAGUUCUCAAAGUUUAACUAAAUUAUGGAUAUAAGUUAUUAAUUUUAUUUUUUUAUUUGUAAAGUUUGAUGAUUUCAAUUUGUUUGAUGCUUGAUGUAUGAUAUUUUGGUUUACUCUUAUGGACAAUUGCCUUGAAUAUUGCUUUUAACAGUUUUGGUUCAAAAUGAUAAUUUGUGCUUGUGCAGGAAUUCAUCACUUUGAAGAAUGAUUCUUUAUUGUUUUCAUAAAUUGUGCCUUCAUUAUUUAAGGAGAUUGAUUAACCUUGUAAGUUUGGGCUUUGGCUAUAAUGAAAUAUAUUUUCUGGAAUGUCUUUAUGUUUGAUGCUCAAUUCUUUGCUUGUACUGCUCUGUUAUAUCAUAAUUUGCUUUAGUUUAAAGUUUUGAAGACUUUUUGUUAAAAGAAAUUGGAUUUUGAUUUUUUCUUUUUAGACAUUAUUGGUGUUUUUGAGAGUUAUAUUCUUAUUUAUGUAUAAAGUAAGGAUACUUUGAGUGUUUUAUAUACUAAUAUGCAUUAAAAUACGACUUUGAGGAUAUUUAGUCCUGUUUAUAAGGUCAUUUGGUUUUCAAGAGAAAAUAGAAUCCAAUAUAUGCAUUAAAAUGAGAUAGAUGUGAGUGAACUUAUUUGUUAAUAAAUAAUGCUUUGGAAAUUUGCACAGACAAUUACAUGAGAAGUAGCAGUAGAAAUAUUGUCUUGCAACUCAUCACAAGACGAUGAAGAAUGUAGGAAUGAGAUGAUAUUGAUAUCCAAACUUCAACACAGAAAUCUUGUUAGGCUAGUUAGCUCACUCUUUUAGUUUUCUCUCUCUAUGAAUCUGGUUGUAUAUAUAUAUAUAUGUUUUUUUUGUUGUAUUCAUUCUAUUCUAUUUUUUUUGUAUGAAAGUGGAAAUUUUUUGGGUUUGUUAUGUGCUCCCGUUAGGUCCCUCUCUCUCGGCAUCCUAGCUACUCACGUAUGUAUUUUAUUAUCAUAUUUCAAGUUAAAGUUAAAACUAACUCUUAUAUGUGCCUUGCAUUGAGCAUAAGUGAUGUGAAAGGGGAACAUCAAAUUAAUUUUGCAUAUUUUGAAUUUAAUCAAUGAAAAGUUACUAAGCUAAAUUACAUUUCAUGUUUGGGUUGUUUGCUAUUCAGUUUGUAGUGUUGCUCCUAUGAUGGAAUGGAAAAGAAAAUAGUUGAAAUCAGAUUUUUAAGUUGUUACCAAUUACACUAUUGCUUGAAAUAUAUUUCGAUGUGGGUUUAAGUUGAAUCUUAGUUUGCGCUCAUAAAGUUUUGCUUAUUUUGAUCAUCAAGGCAAUGUACCUUUGUACCUUUAACCAUAUUUUUUACUCAUGCAAAUAUCGUACCUUUGCAUGCAAUUUGGAACAAUUUUGUGUUGUAUCUGUUUAGAUGAAGAUUGGAGUGAUGUUUUGUAGUUUUGUCAAAUGGUAUUUGGCAUUUUAACAGGACAAGCAAGAUAGGCAAUGCUUCACUGAAUAGUUACCAAGUUGUGAACCAAAAUAGACAAAGCUUCACUGAUUAGUUACCAUUUCAUCUCUUCAUCAGUGAGAAAUUGUGAACCAAAAUAGACAAUGCUUCACUAAUUAGUUAGUAUUGCAUCUCUUCAAGAGUGUUGUUAGUAUUUGACAGGUUCUGUUAAAACUAACAAUUUGUUUUGAAAAAAAUCUACACUACAAUAAAAAUAUAGUUAUAAUUUUUCAUGUUUUGUGUAUUAUAAUAUGACUUUUCAUGUUUUAGAGAUGAUUUUAGAAAGAAAUUCAUGGCAGCCAAUUCUUACUUUGGAAAGACUAUUGGUGACGAGGGUGAGUACAAGGACAAGAAGAAGAAAGAUAUGUUGUUUGACAAUGAAUUUAGUGUUUUAUUUUAUUUGUAAUUUUUAUUAGAGUAAAUUAUUCUUUUUUGAGUGGUUAAUUAUUUACUUUGUAAAUUUAGUUAUAUAUUUUUUAAGGUCAAGACGAUUAUGUUUAUAGACAAGACUAUAUGAUUUUUGAGUCAAGUAGUAGUGUUAUAUUUAUCCUAAA